rnacentral:rRNA from 1 species
GACGAACGCUGGCGGCGUGCUUAACACAUGCAAGUCGAACGGUAAGGCCCUUCGGGGUACACGAGUGGCGAACGGGUGAGUAACACGUGGGUGAUCUGCCCUGCACUUCGGGAUAAGCCUGGGAAACUGGGUCUAAUAACGGAAAGGAACACUGCCUGCAUGGGGGGUGGUGGAAAGCUUUUGCGGUGUGGGGCGGGCCGCGGCCUAUGAGCUUGCUGGUGGGGGGAUGGCCUAACAAGGCGACGACGGGUAGCCGGCCUGAGAGGGUGGCCGGCCACACUGGGACUGAGAUACGGCCCAGACUCCUACGGGGGGCAGCAGUGGGGAAUAUUGCACAAUGGGCGCGAGCCUGAUGAAGCGACGCCGCGUGAGGGAUGACGUCCUUCGGGUUGUAAACCUCUUUCAGCACCGACGAAGCGCAAGUGACGGUAGGUGCAGAAGAAGGACCGGCCAACUACGUGGCAGCCGCCGCCGUAA